UACGGAGGAUGCAAGCGUUAUCCGGAUUCAUUGGAUUUAAAGGGUGCGUAGGCGGGCUAUUAAGUCAGUGGUGAAAUCCUGCAGCUUAACUGCAGAACUGCCGUUGAUACUGAUAGUCUUGAGUUUGGUUAAGGUAGGCGGAAUGUGUAAUGUAGCGGUGAAAUGCUUAGAUAUUACACAGAACACCAAUUGCGUAGGCAGCUUACUGAGCCGACGCUGACGCUGAGGCACGAAAGCGUGGGGAUCAAACA
rnacentral:rRNA from 1 species